rnacentral:lncRNA from 1 species
UGGCAACGAAAGGAAUUUAUGUCCAAUAACCUCGUAAAUUUAAAUGUCAAACAACGCUAGGAAUUCAAAGGUAACUAAAAUAGGAUUUGCUAUAACAAUAUUAUGUAAGUCUAAUUUAAUAAUUGAAAGCUCCGAGAUGCUCCACCCCGUCACCACAUCCCGUCACGUCAUGUCUACUUCCACCCUACCACAUCAUAAAUCAAAAUAUGGAUGAGUCACAAUAUCGUGACUCAGUAUGGUUUCCCGUAUAGGUCAGUCAAAUCACAUCAUAAAAUAAUCAAAUUCACAAACAUCAAGUAGAUCGAUAUACUUUUUCACUAUAUUAUAACACUCACACUUCACAUAUAAUUUUACAAUCCUAUGACACUCACAAUGCACUCGGAAUUAGAUUCAUGCCAACACUCACAUCACUCACUCAUUAACACUUCACUUAUAUGUUCACAAAGCACUCGAUGACUCACCGUUUAAAAGUAGUAUCGAAAUAUGAAAGAAGACAUCUUUUGAAAAUCUUGAAAUGCUAGUCUAUUUGAAAGCUAUCUAGAACCGUAAAAAUUCAAAAUCAAAAUCUAAGAUCUCCUAAAAUCUGGAAUGAAGUAAACCUGGACUGAAUCUGCAUAGAACCCUGAAAAAUUCCAAAAUUUAACUAUACGAUUAUCAUAAAACACUAGAGAAAAUAAGCACAAAGAAGAACUAAACAGAACCCACGGCUAUUGAGAAUUUAAAUCUAUGAUCUUCUGAAAAUACUAAAAGAGAUAAACACGAAUAGAAUCUUAAUAGAAUCCACCUUAACCCAAAAUAGAAAUCUAAAAUUGAACAUAAAAUCUGCUGAAAAUACAGCAGGAGAUAACCAUGCCCAGAAUCUGCAUAAAACCCAAAAGAACUCCAGAAUUUAAACUAAGAUCUAUUGGUAUUCCUAGAUUUGAAUAUAAAAUCUGCUGAAAAUCUAGCAGUAGUUAAACAUGAAAAUAAGAACUCUUCAUCAAACCCAAAAGGAAUCCAGAAUUUAAACCAAUAUCUAUUGGUAUCCCUAGAUUUGAAUAUAAAAUCUGCUGAAAAUAGAGCAGUAGAUAAACACUAAGAGACAUCGCAUAAAACCCAACAUAAAUCCAGAUUGAAACCAAACCCUGAAACAAGAGUAACUAACACAAAACCCAAUGUCUGGAAAUCUAGAAAACGAGGGUCUGAAAUCUGAAAAUCAUAAAAACAAAACCAAUGAAAUGAUUUAAAUAAAAUCAACUAUUUAGUUUCAGCUCAAUAAUAUAACCCACUCAAUACCCUAAUAAACUCAGCCUCAUAAAUCUAUGAUGCAUCUACAUCACUAUCACGUUCUAAGAAAUAACUAUUAACCAGAAAAUUAGAUUCAUAUGUUAGAACUUCCCAUCUUACAAAUCUGAUCAAAUCCCAUCUCACAAAUCCACUCAUUAAAUAAAUACAACCCCAAAAGCACCAACACAACAUCACAAAAAUAUCCUAUAAACAAUAUGAGAUCAUCACUGAAUAACCAAGAUAAAGGAAUCACGUGGGUAUAUCCAAUCUGCACUAUCGUGCAUUGGUUCAACAACCCAAUAACAUACACAGCAGAUGUAUUUAGGUGACUAUUUACCCAGAAAUCAGAUUCACAUUCAUAUACUCAGAACAAAAUCAGAUUCUAUAAAUCUCAUACCUCAUUUUGUUUUUGAAACCUCUCCCAACACAAUCCACACCAAGCUUUCCAACCACCUCGACACCUCCUCGCUCGCUUCCCCGAUAAUCUCUCGCCGGAGUUUCGUCUCCGUCCCCACCCUAGCCGAGCUAGAGCAAUCACCGUUUUUCUUUCACUCACGUUUCUCCCAACCUUACCUCUUUCCAUUCUUGG